AGAGGGAGCAAGGUGAAACAUUAACUCGCAAAAAAAAGCUGGUCUCAUCAAGGUUGACAAUAUACUCUACUUAUAGCCACGUAGCUUUAGAACUAUGGUUUCAUCCCACAUAUUUUCUAUGAGGAUGCCGAUCCUCUGGAUAUGCCUAUAACAUGCAGGAUACUUGGUGCAUCCGCCGAAGUUUCUCCAAAUCCUAAAGUCUCUCUAAAUGAAAAGUAAUAUAUCAGUAAUAGACUAAGUGUGGAGCUAGGAAUAUGCGAACUUCUUCCAAGGAAACAAAUCAAGAGCAUCAC